GUAAAUUUGGAAAUCACUACUUUUUUAUUUGCAUUUUCCACAGUGUCCCAACUUUUUCAGAAUCCUGGUUGUAAUAACAACCUUUAUUUAACCAGGUAAGUCAAUUGAGACCCAGUUCCUAAAGGCAACAUUAUAGAUUUACAAGGCAGUAAUGACACAAUACUAUAACAAUUACACGAAUGCUAAUAAUAACAUGUAGAACAAAAUAAAGCACAGUGAUCUUGUUCUAUUAACUGAGUUGAAUUUUAAAGGAUGAUAAUGGAAUAAAAGAAUUGAGCUUUAAGAUCUGCUGGAGAUGAAUCUACUCAUCAGCAGCAGAAAACUGAAAGAAGUACGAAAUGUGGGUAUACUUUGUGUAUUUGUUUGAAUUGGUAAGAUGUUUUUAAACUUGCAUUUAUUCAAUCAACAACACAGUAAAGUAGUGAAAAUAGUGAAAUGUUAUUUUAUGUUUUCUGUUUGACUAUUUUAACAUUUAAUAUAUUUCUAUAAUUUUUUAAAACCAAGUAUUCAAGAAACGUUCAUAUUAACAGGAUAAUUCACUCAAAAAGGAACAUUUAAGAAUUAUUUACUCGUAUUUUCAAACCUUUAUGAGUUUCCUUUAUCUAUUGGACACAAAAAAAGAUUUGUAAGAAAGCUGGAAACCUGUAACAAUUGACUUAAAUGAAAAAGUCAAUGGUUACAGCUUUCUCCACACUACAUUCUUUUGUGUUCAGCAGAAGAAAAGCACUCGUAUAGGUUUAAAACAAGUAAAGGGGAAGUAAAUGACAUAAUUUUCCAACUGUUUAGGUAAAGGAGAGCAUUUCUGUAAUUUUAUAAACAUCUUUACUGGCAACUGAGUGCAUCCUUGAUGAAGAUAAGAAAGCACAGGAAUAAUACCUGAAGGCCAUGGACUGGAUUCACGGAGGUCUCUUCAAGAGUUGUAGAACAGAGAGCAUGCAAAAAGGUCUGGAUGGGGAGCCGGCCGCUGUUGGUAUCAAUAAUCAGCUGGUUUUAUCUGCACUUGUCACGCACUCUGAGCUCGAAUGGCUACAAACCUCAGGCUUGGUCAGAACAGGAUGUGCUGGGAAAGCGAGAUUAAGCACUUUGCAGGGAAGGGAAUAUCCUACACACUUUGCUUCUGUUUAAAUGCCCUGUCUGCUUGCUGAGUGUCUUCUUGCCAAUAAUGCAAUGGUGUUUUUAUCUGUCACUAUUUUACCAAAUGUCAGUGAAUGUGUAAGCUGAUAGAAAGGCAACAGUAACUCAAAUAACCACUUGUUACAACCGAGGUAAG